CACUGCCGAGAAAAGCCUCUAGAUAGAAAAUAGGUGCCCGUACCGCAAACCGACACAGGUAGUCAAGAUGAGAAUUCUAAGGUGAGCGAGCGAACUCUCGUUAAGGAACUCGGCAAAAUGACCCCGUAACUUCGGGAGAAGGGGUGCUCUUUAGGGUUAACGCCCAGAAGAGCCGCAGUGAAUAGGCCCAAGCGACUGUUUAUCAAAAACACAGGUCUCUGCUAAACCGUAAGGUGAUGUAUAGGGGCUGACGCCUGCCCGGUGCUGGAAGGUUAAGAGGAGUGGUUAGCUUCUGCGAAGCUACGAAUCGAAGCCCCAGUAAACGGCGGCCGUAACUAUAACGGUCCUAAGGUAGCGAAAUUCCUUGUCGGGUAAGUUCCGACCCGCACGAAAGGCGUAACGAUUUGGGCACUGUCUCAACGAGAGACUCGGUGAAAUCAUAGUACCUGUGAAGAUGCAGGUUACCCGCGACAGGACGGAAAGACCCCGUGGAGCUUUACUG
rnacentral:rRNA from 1 species